GCCUGGGUGGCUCAGCGGGUUGGGCGUCUGACUUCGGCUCAGGUCAUGAUCUCAUGGUUCAGUUCGUGGGUUUGGGCCCCACAUCGGGCU
rnacentral:tRNA from 1 species